AUCUUUAUGCAGGGAUAUUACGUGUAUCAGUGAGGAUUCGUCCGAGAUCAUGUUUUUGCUAGUUGAAAACUACAACCUGACAGCUCCUUGAUGUGGUAUCCUUGUGGUAUCUGCGUCCAGGGAAUUUUUGGAACUUUUUUUUUUCAUUGAA
rnacentral:snRNA from 21 species